UUCAAAAAAUCCUAACCCGAUCAUUUCUUAAUAUACAGACAGGUAGUAUCUGUGCUGAUACAUUUCAGCGAAGCUUUUUUGAGUUUACCUUCUGUCAAUACAAAGAAGAGGAUAUGUGCCAGGUCCAUCAUUUUGAGUGUCCAGCAUGUUCUCCAGACAUGUUGGCUGUCUGCUCUGAUGGGAACCGAAAACAUUACCGCUUCAGCAAGUCAAAAGGGUAGGUAUAGGUAUUUUUCAUAAGUUUAUUUUAGACUUGUCUUACACAAAUAGUAGCUCUUCGGGUUGUCUUUGAGUGAUCAUAACUUACAUUUUAACAAAUAGUAAAUGUAGUACUUGUGAUUUUUAUUACUGACGCAUGUUAUCUUAUCAUGGACAGGACUGAGGAGCCACCCAUAUAUGAGGGCUUGUUCUUGGCCAAGGACGAGGAAGUUGCUACCUUUGUUGACCUUGUCAGAGGCAACAUGAGAAGUGUACGAACAUUUGAUUAUUUUAUUUUUUUAUAAUAGUUGUUUAUACAUAUGUUUUGUGUUUAUAUGUAUCUUAAAAUGUGUUAUAAACUGACUUUAUAGGCAAAUGACAGUGCUGUCUGCUGUACUGCCAAGUUCACCGCUGGCAGAGAGAUGUCAAAAAAGUCUGGUGCUCAGAUAGACGAGGAGGGCAUUCAAGUUGCAGUUUGCAGGAAGAGUGAACAUGCUAACGCGACAGGCCAUGGGUUGGAACAGAAGAAAGAGGGACAACCUUCAUCAAGUGUUAGCCCACAGAUAUGUCAAAGUAAGAGUAAAUUAUAAUUGAGAUCCUAAGCACUGCCCCUUUCUCUCAGUGCAUCAUCUACAGCUAGAUCUGAAACUAUUUGUUGAUUAAUUGUUUAAUCAUGUUACAUAAAAUAAAUAUGUGACUAUUUGGAUAAUAAUCUUGUUU
ensembl:lncRNA